CACGUGCGUGCCCGGCGGCGCCCACCUCUGGUGCCUGGGAAGAAGUUGCCCGUGUUAUUUUCGCUUGAUAUGUGCCGAAACAAACAUGGUGCACUUCUUUCUCGGUAUCAAAUCUC
rnacentral:miRNA from 1 species